rnacentral:lncRNA from 1 species
AUCGCUAUGUCAGCUCUGAAGUGAGGCCUCCAUAACAAGCGCCUUAACUACUCCCUCAAAAAAAAUAUAUCCUAGGGAUUAUGCCAACCUUCGGGCCAAGGCCCAUAAGUACAUGCGGGCCAAAGAGGGCCACAUCAUGCAUCAGAAAGAUUGGGCCUUUAAUAAAAAGAAGCAUGCAUGGGAGGACGCACCCCCGAACCAAGCUACACCAGAAUCCUUCUGACUGGCGAAAGCUCCACAUUCCAUUGACCGCUCCUCAAGGCCAAAUCCUCAUGG